rnacentral:rRNA from 1 species
AUACGGAGGGUGCAAACGUUAAUCGGAAUUACUGGGCGUAAAGGGCGCGUAGGCGGUCUAUCAAGUCAGGUGUGGAAUCCCACGGCUCAACCGUGGAGGUGCAUCUGAAACUGAUAGACUUGAGUAUGGGAGAGGAAAGUGGAAUUCCCGGUGUAGAGGUGAAAUUCGUAGAUAUCGGGAGGAACACCAGUGGCGAAGGCGACUUUCUGGACCAAUACUGACGCUGAGGCGCGAAAGCGUGGGGAGCAAACAGGAUUAGAAACCCUAGUAGUCC